UUCGCAUCACUGCAAUGUUGCAUCUCUUGCUAUCAUCUACUGCUGUUUUCAUGCUAACUGCUCUUCUAAUCUUGCUAACUGCAUGCCUCCCCUCCUCUGACGGCCUCGCUGCACAAGACUUUCUUCUUUCUUUCACCCCCUGUUAUGUCCACCUCUCUAAUGCAAGAGUUAACCAGUAUUCUCAAUCAUUCAUUCCUUUCUCUGGUAAACUCUGGAACUCCCUGCCUGCUUCUGUCUUUCCACCUUCCUAUGACUUGAAUUCCUUCAAGAGGGAGGUUUCAAGACACUUAUCCUUCAAUUUUUGACUGCUGCUUUGGACCCUUUUAUGGGACUGGCAUCUCAGUGGGUCUUUUUAUUUUUUGGUGGGGGGAGGGGGAGGGUUGUUGCCCUUGGCCAGUGUCCCUCCUACUUGAAAAAAUAAAUAAAUCAAAAUAUCACCACCCAUAUCUUCCCAACACAAAUACUGACAACAGACCCUGUGUCAGGCUGUAUGUACCAGAUGAGGCCGUGUCAAUGCUCACCUUUGAGAACGUCAUAUUUGAGGCGCCUGACGUGAGACAGCAACUCAUAGCCAAGGUUGCUGUCGUCUCCGCUAGCUGGACUGGUGGUGUAUCCCUCACAUCUGGUCAUCAAGGAGUAUCCCAUGGUCAAGUCCUUGCACACCGAUCUGUUCUGAUGGAAGCAGUUGGAGGGUGUGGAGGAUGUGGUGAGAAUGACUGUCCUUAUCACCCAUCCGUUAUAUCCUUCAGUAUCUUCUUUUCUUCACCUGCACUGUGUUUUUUCCUCUUGCAUCCUUCAGUAAUAUUGUUUUCUUCAUGCCUCCUGUGUUCUUUUUGCUUCUGUUCUAUCCUUCAUUAUACCUUUCUGUUAUAUCCUUCAGUGAUAUCCUUUUUCUCCUGCAGUGUAUUCUUUUUCCCUCUUAUCAUAUCAUGUAUCCUUCAAUGAUAUCUUUUCUUCAUCUUUGCUGUAUUCUUUUUCCUCUACCUUAUCCUUCAUUAUCCAUUUCUUCAUUCAUCCUGUAUUCCUCUUUUUUCUUUCUUUAAUGCACACUUUCCUCCACACACACAAUUUAAACCUUUCUAUCAUGCAUAGUUACCCUCACCCCCUCCUUGCCCCACACACACACACACACACACAAACACACACACACACACACACACACACACACACACACACCUCUAAUGAUGUUAUGGUGAUGUGACACAUUUGGAGGAUGGAGUGCUGAGUCUGUUGCUGCAGUCAGUAGACAUGCUGGCUGCUGGCUGACGGAGUGUACUGUGGCCCCGUUGAUUUCACUCUCAGCAAUGACUCCAAGAAGACCAUAGCAGAGUACCAGCACAAGGAUGGCCAAGGAAAUCCUUCUCAAAUACCCAGAGAUCCUCCAUGCCGCUCACCCCUUCUUCCUUUCCCUGAAGUUUGUGGGUGCUGGUGGCUCUCUCCUGGAUGGAGCAGUUUUUGUGGUGAGACACACAGGGAACCUUAACUCUCAUGCCUUGGGUCUUAUGGGAACUGUUUUCAAAGAGGAAGAGUCUGGUUUGUGGUAAGACACACUGGGAACCUUAACUUUUAUCCCCAUAUUGUGAAAUGCCUGAGGUGUUAUGGGAAAUGUUUUCAAAGAGGAGUCUGGUUUGUGGUAGGAAGUGCGGGGAACCUUAACUUUUAUCCCCAUAUUGUGGAAUGCCUGAGGUGU